GCGCAUCGGCGGGAAAAGACGACGGCGCAUAGGGCAUAACCUGAAGGUCCCACGCGCCGUCGCGGCACCGCUGUGCGACCAUGGUUCCGUAGGCGGUGCCGUCGCCCACAGAUCUCUCGCGCAGAGCGCGCAGGUCGGCGGCAUCGACACCCGUCACGGCAAAGGUCACAAAGUCUCUCUGCAACACCCCCUCUGGAUACGGAUCGGGGGAGCACACCCAGGCGAGGCGGUCCAAGCGGUCGAGUUCUGCCUUGGUCGGUGCCCCUUGGUCCGUAACCACGACGUGCGCGCCCAGGUGCCUCACCCUGUCAAACAGGAGCGGCGGCAUGCUGUACAUGCCACUGCCGUCGUCGACAAUCACCAGAGCGCCCUCGCGUGCAUGCGCCUCGACAAACGGUCCGACGACACCCCAUGCGACCGCUUCCGCCGCGUCUUGCGUGGCGUUGAAGGAGACCUUACCAUAGGUGACCUCGCUGUCGGCGAUGCCGAGCGCGGCAAACAAUGGGUCGACGUGCCAGUAACGCUCCCCCACGCACAGCACGUGCCGGACCCGCCUCGUCAGCACGCGGGCGAUGCGCAUCGCGGCGGUCGUCGCGCCGCGCCUGCGCCGCGCCCACACGUAGGUGAUCGACCCGGCCGCCCGAUGCGGUGCGGGCGAGACACCGCGCCAGGCGAAACCGCCUACGCCGAGGCGCGAUCGCGCAAUUUCUGGCCAUGCCGUGAUCAGGCGACGGGCCGCGUGCCAGAAUUCGCUCACGCCAUAGAGUGGCGCGUAAGCCGACGCGAGCCACGCGUGCAAGACCGCAACAUCGGUCACAUCGUCGUCUCGGUUCUCGUCGUCGGCCAGCGCGCUGGCCGCAGCCGCGAGCGCUUCGCCGACGAGGUGAUGCCAGAGGACCUCUUCAAGCGCCAGUGAGGGCAGAUCGCCAAAGGGCACGGCGAUCGUCGCGGGUCCCGUAUCAACAGGCGACGGCCACAGACAUCGGUGCCUGCUGCGGGGCGCAAGGUGGGCCACGCCCAUAUCAAAGUACAUGAGCCCUUUUGGGGGAGGCACGGAUCGGUCGGUCGCUCGCGCUGUGAGUUUCUUUUUUUUUUUGCAAAGCCUGCGGUGGCGCGCGCGCGACUCAAAGAAAAGGGUGCAAACAGACCUAUCAACAAAGCGGAAAGAGCAAAGAGGCGGCGAUCGCAAAAUACACGGAAAAAAGAAAAAGCGCGAAAAUCGAAUAGUCUUUGUUUUGGAAAAACGGAUCGCCAAUGAGUGCGCUCGACCACCGAGCCGGCUUAUCGCCGAGAGGUCGCGCCGCAAAGGCCCCGCCGGCAAUGAUCCCCAAAAAAAUUGGCCCCGUCGUC
rnacentral:lncRNA from 1 species